rnacentral:lncRNA from 1 species
GGCAUACUCAUACUAAAAAAUAUUAUCAUGUAUCUGAAAUUCAAAUUUAACUGGCAUGUUGUAUUUUAUUUGGGAACCCUAAACCUUCAGAGUGCGUGUGUGUGUGUGUGUGUGUUAGGAAGGGGUUAGAGCAAUGGAACUUCACUCUGUUGUGUAAAUUUUGGGGGAAAUGUAUUCCUGACCCCUGGCUCCUUGCUUGGAUAGAAAUAUGGCCACUGAAGAGAUCAGAUGAGCUUUGUAGUUUUUAGCUGUAUAUUUCCAGGUGCCUGGGGACCACGAGAAGGAGAAGGGUUGCACAAGCGAUCCUGAAUCACCACGUGAGGAGGAGGCUCAGCUCGGGCAGGAUUUUCAUUCACAUCCACAGCCUGAGUAUUCCAAGGAAACUUUAUCCUUCAAGCACCUUUUGUCACAUUCUGCCGGACUCUGCUAACUGUCCUAAUCACAUCGCCUGUAAAUUGGAUCCAAGGGGUGACAAGCACCAUGUAUGCCAUUUGCUCAUUGGUUCCAUGAGAAAAAUCAAACAUGGACAUUUUAUCCCAAUAAACCAGUGUUUCCCAAUGUUUUAAACUGCUACCUGAAAAAGAAGUCUUGUAACUCCUUUUCUUUUUUUUCUUUUUCAAAAUAAUGGUUGAUGAAAGAGAUUCCUUGUAUUUUUUAUUUAGUUUUGGAUUUCACCUUAAUCUCAGCACAUUUUGAAAUGGCUCAUUGAACUUCAUUCUCUGAGCUCUAGCUCUCUAGGGGUCACAAGAAGGUCACUAGGAUAUUCUCUGAAAGCAUCACAUGAGAUAAAAACAUACAGAUUCCACAGUUUCAACAUUGUCAUCAGGAACUCUAACCCCCACGACACUAAUGCAUGACAGCCAACGAUCUCCCUUCCUCAUCUAAAAGGUGAGCACGGAGUCCAGACCAGGGCUCUGGUCUGUCCUUUGAAAUAAUCCUUGGUCCCUGCGGUGAAUGUGAUGAAACAUUGGUAUCUCAGAGCCAUUUUCCAAUAUAGUCCAAACCACUAGUCACCUCCAAUGUCACUGGUCACAACCUCUUUAUAUUUAACGACAGCAUAGACUGGUCAUGUUAAUCUGUUAAUGAUGUCUUAAUGGCAACUCAAAAUUCAAAGCCAACUUGAGGACAUGAUGGCGAUCCCACCUGGCUAGAUAGCACCACAGACUCCAGGUCUGUCACCAAGUGUAGGGUGCGGUGGGGAAGAAGGGGCUUUUUCUAGGGGCCAGGCCUGGGGUUUAUCCCAUCUACGGGGUCUAUGGAAGAAUUGGAUUUUCUCUUUCCAUUCAUCAUGUUUCAUCAUCUGAUCACUGAAAUGCUUAAUGUGAGCUUUCAGAAAAAGUAGGGCAGAUGAUCAGAAAAAGUGAUAAAUGGCGGCUGUAUUUCAUACGGUUGUUCAUAACAAACUAAGUCUGAACUGCUGCACCGGGAGUCGCAGUACAAGGGGGGAAAUGUAUGCAGGCAACAGGGAGUUAAGUAAAUAA